AUCAUGGAGAGUUUGAUCCUGGCUCAGAACGAACGCUGGCGGCGCGUUUUAAGCAUGCAAGUCGAACGGUAGAGAUCCUUCGGGGUCUU
rnacentral:rRNA from 1 species